UGGGGAAUAUUGGACAAUGGGCGAAAGCCUGAUCCAGCCAUGCCGCCUGAGUGACGAAGGCCUUAGGGUUGUAAAACUCUUUCGUCGGGGACGAUAAUGACGGUACCCGAAGAAGAAGCUCCGGCUAACUUCGUGCCAGCAGCCGCGGUAAUACGAAGGGAGCUAGCGUUGUUCGGAAUCACUGGGCGUAAAGCGUGCGCAGGUGGCUGUGCAAGCCAGGCGUGAAAUCCCCGGGCUCAACCUGGGAAUGGCGCUUGGGACUGCACGGCUAGAGUGCGGCAGAGGGAGCUGGAAUUCCUGGUGUAGCAGUGAAAUGCGUAGAGAUCAGGAGGAACACCGAUGGCGAAGGCAGGCUCCUGGGCCAGCACUGACACUCAUGCACGAAAGCGUGGGGAGCAAACAGGAUUAGAUACCCGGGUAGUCCCUGAGCGGGCUGGCAAGGCGCAU
rnacentral:rRNA from 1 species